AACGAACGCUGGCGGCAUGCCUAACACAUGCAAGUCGAACGAGACCUUCGGGUCUAGUGGCGCACGGGUGCGUAACGCGUGGGAACCUGCCCUUAGGUUCGGAAUAACUCCCCGAAAGGGGUGCUAAUACCGGAUAAUUUCUUCGGACCAAAGAUUUAUCGCCUUUGGAUGGGCCCGCGUUGGAUUAGCUAGUUGGUAGGGUAAAAGCCUACCAAGGCUACGAUCCAUAGCUGGUCUGAGAGGAUGAUCAGCCACACUGGGACUGAGACACGGCCCAGACUCCUACGGGAGGCAGCAGUGGGGAAUAUUGGACAAUGGGCGAAAGCCUGAUCCAGCAAUGCCGCGUGAGUGAUGAAGGCCUUAGGGUUGUAAAGCUCUUCUACCCGGGAUGAUAAUGACAGUACCGGGAGAAUAAGCUCCGGCUAACUCCGUG
rnacentral:rRNA from 1 species